rnacentral:tRNA from 1 species
GGCGGGAUCGCAUAGUGGUCUAGUGCAGCCGCCUUGAAAGCGGCCAGGUGUAACAGCCUCUAGGGUUCGAAUCCCUAUCUCGCCG